GCUACGGCCAUAUCAGCCUGGGUACGCCCGAUCUCGUCUGAUCUCGGAAGCUAAGCAGGGUCGGGCCUGGUUAGUACUUGGAUGGGAGACCGCCUGUGAAUACCAGGUGCUGUAAGCA
rnacentral:rRNA from 1 species